UCUCUCUCUCUCUCUCUCUCUCUCCUUUUAUCUUCGUUGAAAAAACAGUCAUUCUCUUUCUCCUACCAGACCCAACAAAAAUCCAUAUUUAAAGACAUGGGAUUCAAUGUUCUUGGGUAAUUUAAUAUUAUAUUACAGUUUCUAGAUUUUUGUUUUCUUUUGUUGGGAAGAACAGGGUGGAAAAAUGUCUGCAAUUAGGAAUAUGAUAAUAAGGUCGAGGUCCCACCGGGUGGUGCAGGACGGGCCGGCGCCGGAGGCGGAGGAGUGGCGUGGAGGGGAUACGUCUUGCUGGGCAAACAUGCCACAGGAGCUCUUAAGAGAGGUUCUAUUGAGAAUAGAAGCAUCGGAAAGCAGUUGGCCACCCAGAAAAAGUGUGGUGGCUUGUGCCGGUGUUUGCAGGACCUGGAGACACAUCACUAAGGAUCUAGUUAAAGUCCCUGAACUUUCCGGCAGGCUUACUUUCCC
rnacentral:misc_RNA from 1 species